GGGUCACCUCCCACCCGUGUUUAUUUUACCUUGUUGCUUCGGCGGGCCCGCCUUUACUGGCCGCCGGGGGGCUCACGCCCCCGGGCCCGCGCCCGCCGAAGACACCCCCGAACUCUGUCUGAAGAUUGAAGUCUGAGUGAAAAUAUAAAUUAUUUAAAACUUUCAACAACGGAUCUCUUGGUUCCGGCAUCGAUGAAGAACGCAGCGAAAUGCGAUACGUAAUGUGAAUUGCAAAUUCAGUGAAUCAUCGAGUCUUUGAACGCACAUUGCGCCCCCUGGUAUUCCGGGGGGCAUGCCUGUCCGAGCGUCAUUGCUGCCCUCAAGCCCGGCUUGUGUGUUGGGCCCCGUCCUCCGAUUCCGGGGGACGGGCCCGAAAGGCAGCGGCGGCACCGCGUCCGGUCCUCGAGCGUAUGGGGCUUUGUCACCCGCUCUGUAGGCCCGGCCGGCGCUUGCCGAUCAACCCAAAUUUUUAUCCAGGUUGACCUCGGAUCAGGUAGGGAUACCCGCUGAACUUAAGCAUAUCAAUAAGCGGAGGA
rnacentral:rRNA from 1 species